UCCAAAUAUAGUCACACUGAGGGUUAGGGCUUCAACAUAUGAAUUUUAAGGGAACACAGUUCAGUCCACCUCAUUAUCCUUAACGUUUUCCAUUUUUCUGUAUUCUCUCCAGUGCUUGGGUAUUGCAUCAGUUUCCUAUAAUUGCUUUAGCAAAUUACUAAAAACUUGGUGGCUAUAAACAACAGAAAUUUAUUGUCUCACAGUUCUAGAGGCCAGAAGUCUGAAAUCGGUGUCACUGGGCCGAAAUCAAGCUGUCAGCAAGGCUGUACUCCCUCCAGAGGCUCUAGGGGGAAAUCUGUCCCUUGCCUUUUUCACUUUUUGGUGGCUGGCAGCAUUCCUUGAUUUCUGGAUGCAUCAAUCCAUCCUCUGUGGUCACAUUGUCUACUCCUCUUCUGGUCAAAUUUCCCUUUGCCUCUCUCUUAUAGGGACAAUCGUGAUUGCAUUUAGGGUCCACCCAGAUAAUCCAGACUAAUGCCCCAUCUCAAGAUCCUUAACUUAAUCAUAUCUGUAAGGCCCCUUUUACCAAAUAAGGUGACAUUUAUAAGUUCCAGACAUUAGAAUCUCCUAUCUUGGGGGCCAUUAUUCCACCAGCCACAGGAGUAUUGUUCAUAAUAUAUCAUUUGAUGUUUAAACAAAUGAUGUAUCAUUUGAUGUUUAACAGCUGACCUACAAAAAGAGCCCUUGUUGCAAGGGCAGGAGACACAAAGAUGUUUUUGCUGGGUGUGUUCAGACAAGAUCACACCCUUCAUACCAUAAUCUAGAGCCUUGGCUCUGUCCUCCCACAUGACCUUCGCCUGAGGGGAGGGGCUGGGGACUAGGGAGCCAAGGAGUCUCCCUGGGGAGGUGAGGUUUCAGAUGAUCCAGGGGUUGGAAGAAGUUUCUCCCAUGCAUUUUUAUCUCAUGGCUGGUUAAGAGGGGUGGGCAUCCCACUCCCGGAAGCCAUUUCACUUUGAAUACUUUGUUUACUUCUGGUUAGAAGAGUCUUCAGGAGUGUGGGCUCUGGUAAGAAGGUCCCAUUUUCCCUGGACUUAUACAACCAGGUC
rnacentral:lncRNA from 10 species